UUAUAAUUUUGAUUUUUAUUUAAUUAUUAAAAUAUUAUAUUAUAAUAUUAUAUAAAUCAUAUCGUAAUAUUUUCACAACAUUUGUGCAAAUGUGGUAGAGAUAUUUGAUUUCUAUUUGAUGAUAUUUCUUUCUUAAAUAUUGUGUCUAUUCGUCCGUUUAACUCGCAGUAUUUUUAUUUUGAUUUUACGUUCAAGCCCAUGAACGUUUCUCUAUAAUUCAAUCUUCCUAGAAAAUUGACGACGUAAUUCUAUUUGUUUUGAAACUACGCUCAAGACCCUUUCAAAAAGUUGGUGAUUCACAUUCGUAUCUUGUUCUCGGUAUGUGUUAAUUUUGAGUACAUUCUUUUUGAUCCAAUUCGAUAAUCGAAAUCGUGAUGUAAAGUGUCAUUCAAAACUUGUGUGUGUAUCGAAACUCUACAUCUAAAAAUGCGUUGCUUCAGAUAUAUAUUAAAAUUAGUAUUACAAAAACAUAAGGUGUCCAUCAGAAGAAAAGAUACAAAUUGAAGAAAACGCGUAGAAGAAAAGAAGAUUGAUCGUAUUAUUUGAAUUUUAAUUCUUUUGUAAUUAAUUAGAUUUUUUCAUCCGUAAUAAUUAGGAAAUGAGUGCCAUCUCUCGAGAACAUAUAGUAUUUCAAAGGCAAGGUAAGGUAGAUUAAGAAUCGAAAAUCAGUGCCAUCUAUCGAAUACUCUUGGACAUAUUUUUUUUUUUUUAUGUAUAUUUCUUUUUCUAUAUUUUAGAGAUGGUGUUAAAUUCGCAAUUUUUAAUUUAUUUUUGUCUUUCUUCCUCCUUUUGUUUAUAGUUGCUAUUGAUGCGUAAUCGUAAAGGAGAUAUAGGAUAUGUGAAUCGAACAUGUAUCGUUUCUCUUUUGAAACUACAAUGUGUCGUCUUAAUCUUUAAUCUAACGUGAAGAAUAUAGAUAUUACAUUCUGAGUUUUACAAUAUAUUUCUAGAACGAUAGAUAGGUAAGAUUGCGAAACAACGAUACACAAUGAUAUUUGAUGCGAAUAUUUUGAAAGCGAUUAGAAUUCGAUCAAACGAAAGGUUGAGACGAUAACAAAAAAUAAAUAUAUAAGAAGAAAUUUUGAAAUUUUCAAAUAAUAUAGUAUUAAAUUAUAAAAAUACUAAAAUAAUAAUAUCGAAAUUCGUUUGUGUAUUUCGUAUUCGAUAACAUUCUAUUCGCUAUUUGUAAUUUCAUCAAGCAUUACGUUCUUAGCAUUAGAUCUAUUCUAUAUAUUUUGUCCCUGGUUUUGUUAUAUUAUCAAUUUUGACAGUUGAUAUAAACCAAUGACUAUUUUCAAGAAUAUGAAAGAGGUCUUCGAAAUACUCGCUUACGUACCAAAUAAUAAAUGUGUCGUAAAAUGUAACAUGCUAUCAAUAGAUCAAUCUUGCAAUUUUGAUAAAAUAAAUUUGACGUAAUUAAUAUAAUAUAUAAUAUAAUAUAAUAUAAUAUAAAUGACUUAUUUAAGUAUAGAGAUAUUUCUUUAUUUUUCGAACGAAUCCUUCCAAUUAAAACGAAAAAAAUAAAACGAUUCCCACGAUAACACGAUGGCGAUGAUCCAAUAUGAUAUCAACGGAGAAGUAGAUUCGAUAGAUUCGAAUCGGUCGAUUCUCAUCGACCACGGCAGGACCAUGACAACAAGAAUUCAGUCGGUUCGCGAUGUGGCGACAGAAGAAGAACCGUUUUUUGAUAGAUCGGCAACAACCUCUCACGAGCAAGAUCCCACGAACUAAACUGAACAUACGGAUCGAUCGGAAUGCCGAAAUAGCAAAUUAGGGGAUUCCAGGAGAACUGCCCUCUCUGUCUCUUACCUACUUCUUAUUUCUUUCUUAUUCUGGUUUCAAAGCUUUGUCCUCGUCCGCCUUAAACGUUACCAUUCGAUUCCGCCGCUGCGUUCCACCCCUUCCGACAAACUUAAUAAUAGUAAUGAUCCGUCGCGUAGUUCGGUAAAUUAUCAUUCAACUUUGAUUAUCGUUUAUAUAAUUUUGUUCGAGGAUUCAAAGAAUAUUGGUCAUCGAGGAAAUAAUAUUUUUAUGUCGAAAUAUAAUAUAAAAAUAUCGAGGGGAAUCCAUUUUAUGUGAAAAUGUAAAGAAAAAAAAAAAAAAGUCGAAUUGAAUCGAU